rnacentral:tRNA from 1 species
GGCCGCGUAGCUCAACUGAAUAGAGCUUUUGACUACGGAUCAAAGGGUUGCAGGUUUGAAUCCUGCCGCGGUCAC